UAAAACCAUAAGACGAGAAGACCCUGCGGAGCUUUAAAAACACCACUUUUUAAGUUGGGGCGACUACGGAAACAAAAAAAACUUCCACGACCAGGGCUAACCCCCCCAAAAAAGGACUCACACACCAACCCAGCUGAUCAACGAACCAAGUUACCCCAGGGAUAACAGCGCCAUCCUCUUCUAGAGCCCCUAUCGCCAAGAGGGUUUACGACCUCGAUGUUGGAUCAGGACCCCCUAGUGGCGCAGCCGCUACUAAAGGUUCGUUUGUUCAACGAUUAAAGUCCUACGUGAUCUGAGUUCAGACCGGAGUAAUCCAGGUCGGUUU
rnacentral:rRNA from 1 species